rnacentral:rRNA from 1 species
UACGGAGGAUCCAAGCGUUAUCCGGAUUUAUUGGGUUUAAAGGGUGCGUAGGCGGCUUGUUAAGUCAGGGGUGAAAGACGGUGGCUCAACCAUCGCAGUGCCUUUGAUACUGACAAGCUUGAAUGGACUAGAGGUAGGCGGAAUGUGACAAGUAGCGGUGAAAUGCAUAGAUAUGUCACAGAACACCGAUUGCGAAGGCAGCUUACUAUGGUUUUAUUGACGCUGAGGCACGAAAGCGUGGGGAUCAAACAGG